UCAAAAACAUAAAUUUUAAACCAUAAAUAACAAUUAUCCAUUAGAGAAUGGGGAUGAAGUUUGACUCUUUGGCGUAUAAUACAAUGCCUUUGGGAUGAAUGCAGCACCCUAUAUUAAUCAUUUCCCCCAUAUGAAUUCAGAUGUGAUUUUUCUUAAAUUUCGUCACAACAUUCAUGAGGAAAACAUCAAUUAUAAUUACCAAAACGAUUUCCAGUACAAUUAUCCCUCAGAUUUCAAAACACAAUCUCCCGCACGCACUCUCUGAAUCCAUUCUCCCCAAACUUCCUCACGAUCGCAUCGUAAUACGUCUCCCACAGAUUCGCCGACGCCUCGUUGAACUCCAUAUCGCUGAAUACAAACAGCCGCUUUAUCAUCUACUCUUUCAAAUUCCCCUCCACCGCCACUUUCAGCAACACCUUAGGUUUCUCAUUGAACGUGAUCAGCUUCCCUUUCCAUGGAUCCUCGCUCAAUUCUGACACCAGAAGCCCUAGCGCCAUCUCCGAUCGGCGCGGAGGUAGCUCGAGCAGCGGUAGGCUCGCUCGCGCCGAUUUCCAGACUGCCUAUGAUUUCCUCUUCGAGAAAUCUCGAGAGCAGCAAUGACGGUUUUCAGAUUAGGCGGAGGAGAGAGGUUGGCGAGGAUGAAGAUCUCGUAGGCGGUGGCGCGGAGGUCGGCGUCGGAAAGUGGACACACGGCGACGGUGGCGGCAGAUUUUGCCGGAGGAGGCGCUGCAAUUUCCGAAAUUGAGAGAGAGAGAGAGAGAGAGGGAGGGAGGGAGAGGGAGAGGGAGAGUGGAACCGUGAAAGAGAGGAGAUGAAAUAGGCCAUUUUUUUAAUUUUUAUUAUUAGGGGUAUUUUUGACUUUUUGCUCAAAAACUGGUCAUUUUUUAAUAUUUUUAUUUCAUAGGCUAGAUUUUAAUUUUACAAUAUGAAAGUGGACACUUUUAUA